rnacentral:rRNA from 1 species
AUGGCCGGCGACGACCGCCUGUCCGCGCUCCCCGACCAGCUUCUCCGCCGCCUCCUGCACUUCGCCCCAGCCAAGGAGGCCGCCUCCACGAGAGCGCUCUCCCGGCGCUGGCGCUCGCCGCUCUUGCGCUCCUCGGGGGCCGUAAAUCUCGAGACGCACGUCGAACGCAUAGAACGACUUUACCAAAGCUGGGGAGAGGAGCGCAAGAGCCUGGAGGCCACGUUCUUCGCCCGGCGCGACGCCUUCGUCUCCGCGGCUCAGGCGGCGCUCGCGGCGGCCGACCACGUCACGACGCUUACCCUGCGCGUGAAGUUCGAGUUUGGCGUCGACGGCAGGUUCCUGCAAUAUGGCAGCGACGGGUUGUCGUCGCAGGACCAGGACCAAAGCGUGAUCACCACGCUUCUCUCCCACCCGGCGGCGCGAGGCGUCCAAGUCCUCCGGCUCGCCGUGGAAGGCCGCUACGACACCUACUACGAGCCAAAGAAGGAGAUCGCCAGGAAAGUGGUAGGCGAGUACAUGCUCAGCCUCGGCUUGCUGCCGUCGGAGACCCUCCGCGUGCUCGAACUCACCAACUGCAGCAGCAUCCUUCCACCGGCCGCCACUGUCGUGUUCACCCGGCUUUCAUCGAUGCGGCUGCGGCAUUGCACCGUGCGCCUCGAUGCCCUCCAGAGCCUGUUCGAUGCCGCGCCUGCGCUCGCCAUCGUCCACCUUGAGUCUGUCGUCAUCACCAUUGGGCCAAGAGCCGACACGAGCGCGCCAGCCCACUGCUCCUCGGGCGAUACUUCUCCCCCACCACCAACAGAAGUAGUGCUCCAAUGUCCGGCAGCCAGAGUGCUCGUGCUCCGGAGGUGCAGCUGGAGAGGGAAUGCUGACGGCAAGACCCCCGUCAUCGUCGCCGUGGAGAUCCACGCGCCGAGGCUGCGGCGCUUCGUGUACACGGGGUUUCUCCGACGGUUCACGAUGAGACCGCGGCCACCGGACUUGUCACGGGCAGACCUGCACCUUUUCUGGCCACGCGUCGAGAAAACGUACGUGUAUCCACGCGAGAAGCACCGCAGCGACGAGGAUCCACACCCCACCCUCGUGACCUUCUGGCGAUUCCUCCAGGACCUAAGCAGCGUCAGGGAGUUGAAGCUGAGGGUGAACAACCUCGAGGACAUGGCGGUGCUCCGCGAGGCGAGGCGCGUCGAGCUCCUGCCCGCCUUCUCCAAACUCGAGCGGCUCGAGCUGCAAGGAGUGCACAGGCCGAAAGGCAAGACCGCGUCGGUCGCGAUCGCGAACCUGCUCCGCUGCUCCCCCGUGCUCGGCGAUCUUCGCAUCAACCUUACCACGGCGCAACAUGGUGCCAUAUUAAAGUAUAACCGCAUAGAAGGGUACGUGGAAACAAAGUUCCUGUCUGACCGUGACAAGUCAAUAGAUCUUAUCAACCGUGCAGAGCCGACAGUGGUUUCUCUGGAAGAUGAUGGCGAUGUUAACAGUGGUGAGGUUUUAGAUAUCCCUGGCCUGAGUCGGCACUCGUUCGAAUGCUUGCAGAGCUCACUGAAGAGAGUGGGCUUGCAGUUCCGCUUGGAGGAGUCCAAUUGUUUGGGUGUCAAGCUGAUCAAAUUCUUUGCCGAGAAUGCGACGGUUCUUGAAGAAAUGCAUAUCGACAGCGGAAACAGGAAGUUGUGCGAGCAUAUGAACAACAAGCUUAAAACUUGGAUCGUCAGUUCAUCCAAAAGGAGAAAGUCAGAAGCCUCAAGCUUUAUGGUUUUACCCCUUGAGUCAAGAGAACUCUGCAUCGAACGAGGAUUUUGA